CCACCCGCCUCUGCCUCCCAAAGUGCUGGGAUUGCAGGCAUGAACCACCGCGCCCGGCCCUCCAUUUUGUACAAUGAUUAAAGAGGCGCAAAGACGAAGAAGGGAGAAAAAUGCCCGUGGGCAUCUUUUUUUCUUUUUAGUUAUCUUUGUUUUCUAGGCAAAAGAGCAGAGUGAAAGCAUCUGUCUGCUGAUUUCUCCACCAGUCUCUCCCUGUCGACCUGCACAGGGACACAAGUGCAAUCCAAUACUGAGACAAGGACUACUGUGGCUCUCUAGUCGCUUGAGAUGGGAGUGGCAGGGCGCUGGAUGGCCGAACGAAGACUGUCGGGGAAUAAGAGGCCUUCAACAUGCGAGAAGCAGAAACCAAUACGGAUCAACAUUCCCUACGGAUAUUCCAUAAGACUGAUUCAUAUUCAUAUUCCUGUAUUUCCUCAGUCCCUCCAAUAUUGCCUGGGAACUUCUGGUAACAGCAAACGGAGGCCCCAUAUGAAAAAAAACAGGAAAAGGUUUUGUCACAAUGGAAAAUACAUGCAGAGUAAAAGGGUAAGAUAUUUCUGAAGGAAAUCAGAAAAGCCCCAAAUCGAGACUUGAUUCUUAUUACUCAUAAGAGAAGACUGAAGCUUUAACAAUUAAUCUGCUUAGAACUGCAAUGUAAACUGCACGCAGCUAUUACCUGAUUUUUAUUUCCACUACUUUUCUUCCAUCACAAGCCCUAUGCAGAAAAAAAAGUGAAUGUGGCUUAUCAUCUGUUCUUAAGGAGGAUGGGGCUUGAAAAACUUUGUAAGCAGAUGAAAGAGAAGAAAUGGAGACAGACAGGUUAAGACCCCAGAGAAAAUUUGAAAGUUCCAUCUGGACAUCUUACCUGUUGAUGU
rnacentral:lncRNA from 1 species